GGGCUGUUUCCUAUACAAGGCAUUGCACUCACUUUUACCUAACGGACCUGCUUUUUCCACUUACGCGUAGCUAAUUUUUGUGCUGUUUAAUUUGUAAAUUUAGUUAUGAAUCAAUAAUUUAUGUGAAGAAUUUGCCAUUUGCUGUUCACAGAUUGUCCAUGGGCUGACCCUGCUUUCCUUAUUAUCAUCAUCUAAUAUUUAUAUAUCAACAGUAUCUGAAGGUCCCUGUCAAAAACAGGAUGUCAUUGUACUGGCUGGUCUAAAAAUAUAGAGGCAAACACAGUGCCUGUUCUGAAGUGCUUACAGUCGAAAGAAGAAGAAAAUUACAUAUGUGCAUUUUUAAUUUUGUGUAAGUACACACACAUGCAUGUACAUGCACACGGACACAUACUCCCCCUCCAGCUUUAGCCUAGUAGUUACAUUAGUACUUAAAAAAAAUAAAUUCUCACCUGCCCUACUACCCCCAGCAUAAAUGGGUCUUGAAAAGGGAGCUAAGUGUAUUCCUUAAAAUGAAAAGCUCUACUUUCCUUAUUGCACAUUAAAAAACAAAUCUGAGUUACGGUUCUUGCCCUGUAUAGUAUCUACUCUUCCAAGUGUGUUGCUUUGCUUAGUUGUAAUUACUCAGACAAACUCCAUGUCACUAUGCCUGUUUCCCAGCUAGAUGAGCAUGGAGGCAGUUUUAAUGCUAAGUAGUCAUGCCUGAAAACCUGAAGUUCAAUUUUUACCCGUACCAGGGAAGACAGACUUUGUCCUAGUUUUCAUACAAGUGACUCUGACUACAUAAGGAUAAUGUCAAAGUGAAUAUAAAAAUGGCAGGGUAAUGACCAAUGUGGAGACAAAAUCCAGAAGAACAAACCAGAAAAACAAGUCUGGAAAGAUUUUCACAGGCCUAAUGAUUUGCAUGCAAACAUCAGUAUUAUUCACAAACGCAUGUACCACUUUCCUACCAUCUUCCCCUUCAGUUGCCACUUUAAAACACACCUGCCAAAUGCUAUCGGCACGUUAUCACCCUCACCAAAAACUGCGUUAAGUAGAGCAACGACAGAAGGUUUUUACACAGGGCUCGCAUUUCAGAGAGGGAGUGGAGAUUUACACGGGCAACAUGAAUAUUCUGAAUAAUAUUUCAUGCUAACAAAUUAGAUUUUGGAAGGGAUAUGUAAAACCACAUGCUUCAGGGUUGAAGCUAAUCCCUGGAUGUUAGGAACAAGGGCAGGUGAUCCUGGAUUUGGCAAUUGUGGGAUUACUAGCAUCCUUCUAUUGAGGUUGAUACUGGCCAAUGUGGAAGAUAUAGUCCAUCUAGUUUAGGAUCCUUUGUUUGAUCAUAGAUAGCAACUUCUCAACAAGAAUGGUUUGCAGCCUGGUGGACUAUGGCAGGGUAGAAAUUGUAAGAACUGGGUGAAUGUAAGAGGAAGGAUGAUGUGGAUUAUGGUGGAAUUUAGGCAACCUAAAUUCCUGCCUUUGCUACGACCUGCCAAUGAGACCUCAGGCAAGUUGCUUAGUUUGUGUGUCCUUGUACCCAUCUAUGAUCUGAAGAGAAUGUUGUUCCCACCAGCUCAUGAAUAUUUCUUAGCAGGGACUUUCUCUUUGUACACAUUUUGCAUAGUGACUAACCCCACAGAGCCCUGAUCUUAGCUGAGGGAUCUAGGCUGAACUGAUCAGAAUUUCUACUACUUUGCAUUUUCUGGCUGUUGGUUUCUGUGUAUUUAAGUUUCAUAUUCAUUCCUUUUAAAUAAUUCAUCUUCAUGCCUUGGUAGUUUUUUUUUAAACCACAGGGGAGAAUGUGGAAUUACCAUAAGGCAAGAUCUUUUCACGAUGUCGGCCUAACCCAAAAGAGUAAAUUAGGGUUAAUUAACGAUGAACCGCUGCUUUCAUGAACUAUGCGCUCCUCUUAUGCACAAAGAUUUGGCAGAGACGAUACAGCAUGAAACAGCACACAUCUGAAAUCUCAGGAGUUGGCACCAGAGGCAGCAAAGCAUUGAGCAGAUGGCCCGCCACUGAAGCGGACAGUAAGCAUAUACAUCACCAAGAACAGCUAAUUUCCAGAAACAUCAGGCCUUCCACAUAUUACAACAAUGUCUGGCCCUAAAUUGCACUGAAGAACAGCAAUGACAGGAAAUAUCCCAGAUAGAUAUCAACAGCGAUUCAAGUGAGCCCCCAAACUAUUUCUGUUCAUUUGCUCAAAUACACACUGAUGGCAUAAGCAAGUGCCACUCCACUGACUUCGUAAUAUCAUCAUCUUGGAUUGAAGAUGUGAAUUAUUUUUGAUUAGCUGGAGGGGAAAUCCAGCCUCACGCAGCAUCUUUCACAGUGACGGGUAGUGUAAACUCUGAAUUCUCUGGCAGCAAUGAUGAAAUUAAAUGAUUUCUGGUGUGACAGACACUGCUUAGUAAAUCCUUGAAGGCUGAAGAUACAUUGGAACAACAGAAAAAGAAAACCGGGCAAACAAAACUGCUCGCACAAUUGCUUGGUGCCAGCUCCUCUCCAUGUUUCUGUUCGGGGAGCGUGCAAAAUAUGUUACCAGAGAAGACUCUGCCAGGAUUUCGUGCUUCCAUGCUUCUACUUUUCUUGGGCUGGGUCUCAGUACUGGUGCUUUGAAAGCCUGAUUUUGUGUGGCCACAGUGCAGAGACUUCUGUUUCCCACUCUGAACAUUUCUGCCGAGCUGCAAUUGCUGCCUGCUGCUUUCCCAUUUGUUAAGCAAUGGAUUACUGUUCAAACAUUCUCAGCCCAGGUUAGCCUAAUCUCUGCAUGCAAUUCUCCAAAUUUACUAUCCUCUUACAGAGCCGUGAUCAGAGGUGCUUCUUGCUUGUUCAAUAAUUUUCUGAAGCGCUGCCCCAAUCAUUGCUACUGUGAUUUCCUUUCUUUGUGAUGGGUAAUGCAUUUUGCUAUUCACCUUCUGCAGAAGGUAAAUUGGCCAUUUAGAUGCUUUCUGAUUUUGUAUACAGUGUCUUAGUUGUUUUCUCCAUCAGGCCUGACAGCUAUUUCAAGCCCUUGCACUUAUUCUUACAUUAAUUUAACUUCACCUAGCAACCCUUAUCAAGAUACUACUAGCUAAUUCUGUCCUUAUCUUCUCCCCUCCCCACCCCAAAUCACUUGAAGUACAAUGCUUUUUCUUCAGUGCUCAAGUAUCGCCUUUAAUCUAUUCUGCCUCUUUACUCAGCUACUGCUUGGCCUUAGUGGAAUCCUCUUCCUUUGCUGAAGCUCACUCUUGCUUCCUGUUCUCAUAUUUUCCAAGGGAUUUUGCAUAGCUAAAGUGCGUGGUCUGUUUUUGGGGGAUCUGGAAGCUUGGUCAUGGGCCUGGGCUAAUGCCUCCCACCCAGAUAUGGGCCCAAAGAAAUGCUUUAGAGCUGCUGGCAUGGUGAUGCUGGAUAUGAAAGACUAGGAUGUGGAAAAGUCAGGGAGCAAAAAGGAAGGAAGAGGCUCCAUGAUGGAGUACACAGCACUGCAGGGACCUCCCAAGCAUGGCCAGUGCAAGGAUUUUUGCUGCCCUAGGCAGUGUCAUGCUGAGCUAAGGCCUGGCUGAAUGUAUGAGAUGCUUGUCUGCCCAAGGCAUUGCUUUUGCCACCCACUACAAUUUGCCACCCUAGGAAGCUUCCUAUGCUGCCUGCUCAGUUAUGCCAGCCCUGCUCCAGAGCUAGCUCAGAGGGUGGGAAUUUAGAUAAGGUGAUGUGCCUUGGGGAGCCGACUGGAUUAAAGGAGUCAAUACAUUUGGAUUGGAGACUCUGAAUGACUCAGAGAGGAAAAGCAAGGCAUAUUUUCAAGACUACGCGAUGCCUCACAUCUGUGCCUUAGAUUCCCUUCUGUAAAAUGGGAAAAAUGACAUGUAUCUACUUCUGGAACUGCUUUAAGAUGUAUAAAUAAAAAGUACCAUACAAAUCUGAA